GAUGAACGCUGGCGGCGUGCCUCAAACAUGCAAGUCGAGCGGGGCUAUGUAAUAUCGCAAGGUAGAACAUAGCCUAGCGGCGAACGGGUGAGUAACACGUGGGUAACCUGCCUGGAAGACAGGGAUAACGAUUCGAAAGGGUCGCUAAUACCUGAUAAUAUCCUUUCAUCGCAUGGUGAUAGGAAGAAAGGGGGAAACCCGCUUUCAGAUGGGCCCGCGUCCCAUCAGCUAGUUGGUAAGGUAAAGGCUUACCAAGGCGACGACGGGUAGCCGGUCUGAGAGGAUGUACGGCCACACUGGGACUGAGAUACGGCCCAGACUCCUACGGGAGGCAGCAGUUGGGAAUCUUAGGCAAUGGACGAAAGUCUGACCUAGCGACGCCGCGUGAGGGAAGAAGGCCUUCGGGUUGUAAACCUCUGUCAUGGGGGAAGAAGUAAGUGACGGUACCCCAAGAGGAAGCCCCUGCUAACUACGUG
rnacentral:rRNA from 1 species